UGGUAUUUGGGAAAGUUACAAGCAAAGAGUGUUGCUGAUGUCUAAAAUAAGAAUUGACCACACUGGGAUGGGAGAAAUAUGGACUGUAUUCUUCCCAGAUCACCUCGUCAACAGUGCCUCUGGUUUUCUGAAAGGAUACACUGAUGAGCGGAAAUGUGUUGCAUAUGUUCUUACAAUCUCUCAAAAUACGUCGCACACCGAGUGCGAGAUCGACAGAAUCAUUGGCAUUUGGCAGGGACAUGGUGAUGCCAUUAAUGAUUGGUCCCACUGCCAGCAACACGAUGAAGUGAAUAAUCACAAGAAGUCUGUCUUUUUUAAUAUUUUUUGUCAUCAAAAGGAGUUUGGAGUUGUGAUGUAUUUCAAAGAAGAAAAAAAGGCUGACCAUUGUGCUGUAUGUGUAAUCUUUAAUCAAAGAGCUUUGCUAUCAUCAUUUUUAAUUUGUGAAAGUACUGAAGGCAACCACGCGAGUGAGUUACAUGAUUAUGUCAGUCACAUAAUAACUGUCUACAAAAGUCACCAGGAAAGUAUUUCAAAUGGAGUAUGUGCAGGUUCGUCAACAACCCUAAAAGCAUUCCAGCUUAUCAUCAUACAAAUAUUUCAGAUAAUGACAACUUCACUUGUUUGUUUGGAGAAGUUUUUAGAUAUCUUGAGCUUCAAGUGCUUUUUGAAAUAUCUAUCAGUACAGCCACCAGAAUUUGUCAACCACAUCAGCAACAAACUCAGUCGAUUUAGUCAGAUUCAGUCAACAAAUGUAACACCAAAAGGAAAACUUGUGCUUUUUGAUAUAUGUAGUCAACAGUUAUUGGAUUCAUUUCUGGGCUUGAUGGUUAUGGCAUUUGUGAUACACAGCGGUUGUGCAGGUGAUAUUGCCAGUUUCAUUAUGCACUGGGUAGAUGUAACUGCUUCUUAUCUUACUGAUCUUCUUCAUUGGCUUAUGGGUGCACCUGCUGGAUUAAAAUUAAAUUCUCAGCUAGCUGGAUACAUGGGGAAUUUUUUUCUAUAUCAUAUCUACUUAUGGACAGGAUACUUGUCAUUGCUGCAGCCAGUACUGGGACUGUGUAUGUGGUGUACAGCUUGCACUGGCAUAUUUGGUAUAAGCAGUCAGCUAUGCGUGGCACAGGACAUUCUUUCCAUGUUGACAAUCCAUAUAUACUGCUUCUAUGUCUAUGCUGCAAGAAUUUACAGGCUUCAACUCUAUGCACUUUCUUCUCUGUGGCGAUUGUUUCGGGGAAAGAAGUGGAAUGUCCUGAGGCUGCGCGUUGAUUCUGCAACAUACAACAUUGAUCAGUUGUUUGUUGGCACUCUGCUGUUUACUAUCCUUCUGUUCUUAUUACCCACCACAGCACUUUACUACUUUGUAUUUACAACACUAAGACUACUACUACUGUUUUUCCGUGGCAUGAUGUCCCAGUGUGUUCUUCAUCUUAACAACAUUCCAGUGUGUACUUUACUUCUGUGGAUUCUUCAUUCCAAAGCUGUUACAGGAAGUGUUAAAUUUACAGUGCAGGAAGACAGAUGUUGCAGCACUUGCUUGGUUCUUUGUAUGAAGGCUGUACAUCUUCCUUUUUAUAAACUGUACAAAAAGGCCCAAUACCAAAUGAUGCACAGUGAGAAGACCCAGCUAUACACAUGGUCAGAACUGCUAAAGCGGUUAGCAGUGGGUGAUCUUAUUUAUCCAUGGAUCAAUCAAGCAAGGACUCACAUCAAGGAAAAGCAGCUAUAAUGAAUUCCACUCAUUGCGCGCAGUCUGUAACAACAUCAAAGAAGAGUUCAAGGUUUACAUGGGUCAUUGUACUUAAAACUUCCUCAGCCAGAUCAUGUAUGAUUUACCAGCAACCUUUUGACUUCCUGCUGUGUGAUGCUGUAAAGCCCAGUAUCGGUUUUCAACAGUCUUUUUUUUAAUUAAUUUAACUAACUAAUCUAUGUACAUUCAUAUAUGAGAAAGAGGUAGAAGGAGAAUAAAAUAAUGUUGAUUUGAUUACAAUUUGUGUCAAUGCAUGCAAAUGUGAUGGAAAAUCAAAAUCAUUUUUUUACAAAUUAUUGAAACCAAAAGAUGUGCAUAAGUUAAUGUUGUUAAGUUUAUACAUUUGUGCUAUAUACAUAUCAAAACUAAUUAUGCAGUGCCAAUUUAACCUCAUUUUAAAAUUUUACUCAACAUGUUUUUGUGCUAAGGCUACCAUACAGUGAUGCAAAAAUGUUGCUAAACAUCUUUUUCAUGUUCUUACAAAAAUUGUAUCUUUGACCUUUGUUAAUCAAUGAAAAUAAUAAAUACAGUAUUCCUAAAAUAAUUUAUCCAGAAGUUUCUAUUAUUGAUUGACUUUUUAGUGAUUUGUAUCAAGUUACAACAAUUUUUGGGAUUUUUUUUUUUUUAGAGUAUUAAGAUCAAUUUUACACUAAGUAAGAAUUGUAUCAAAACUAUUGCUUUAUAAUUGAAACAUUUUGUAUGAGCUUAUAAUAUUGAUGUAAAUAUUUGACCUGGAUCAUUUUAUGUUCAUAUGUAUGGACUGAAACAAUGUCAGCAUAUCUGUCAAUAAAAGUUUUUUUUUUCGGUUACACGGUGA
rnacentral:misc_RNA from 1 species